CCCUUAGAUGUCCUGGGCCGCACGCGCGCUACACUGAGUGUCUGAGAUACGAGUCUGCCUGGUCCGGCAAGGUCUAGGUAAUCGCUAAAAGACACAUCAUGCUUGGGAUAGAUUAUUGCAAAUAUUAAUCUUGAACGAGGAAUUCCUAGUAAGCGCAAGUCAACAGCUUGCGUUGAUUACGUCCCUGCCCUUUGUACACACCGCCCGUCGCUACUACUGAUUGGGUGUUUAAGCGAGGUUCUCGAACUGCUAGCGACUUAGCUUCGGUGAGGUCGCAGUGUGGGAAGUGAACCGAGCUUUGGUGUCUAGAGGAAGUAAAAGUCGUAACA
rnacentral:rRNA from 1 species